GACUUGGACUGGCCGCCAGGGUCCGGAAGAGGAGCGAGUUCACUCGAUCAUCUACGUUACGUGGGUGGUGGGGAGCGACGAGCUCUGGGUUACUGUGAAGAAAUUAGAGUGUUUAAAGCAGGCAGGAAAGCUUGAAUAGACGAGCAUGGAAUAACAAGAUAGGACAUUGAGAGCCUCUUGUUGGUGAAGGGGGACGGAUGUAAUGAUUAAUAGGGUCAGUUGGGGGCAUUAGUAUUCAGUAGUCAGAGGUGAAAUUCUUGGAUUUACUGAAGACUAACUAGUGCGAAAGCAUUUGCCAAGGAUGUUUUCAUUAAUCAAGAACGAAAGUUAGGGGAUCGAAGACGAUCAGAUACCGUCGUAGUCUUAACUAUAAACGAUGCCGACUAAGGAUCGGCAGGGGUCGGUUAGCGACACUGUCGGGACUUUGUGAGAAAUCAAAGUUUAUGGGUUCUGGGGGGAGUAUGGUCGCAAGGCUGAAACUUAAAGGAAUUGACGGAAGGGCACCACCAGGAGUGGAGCCUGCGGCUUAAUUUGACUCAACACGGGAAAACUCACCAGGUCCGGACAUGGUAAGGAUUGACAGAUUGAGAGCUCUUUCUUGAUUCUGUGGGUGGUGGUGCAUGGCCGUUCUUAGUUGGUGGAGUGAUUUGUCUGGUUAAUUCCGAUAACGAACGAGACCUUGACCUGCUAACUAGAUGUUAGUACGAGAGUAUUGGUAGACUUCUUAGAGGGACUGACUA
rnacentral:rRNA from 1 species